rnacentral:rRNA from 1 species
CAUGCAAGUCGAACGAGAAAGUAUCUUCGGAUACGAGUACAGUGGCGGACGGGCGAGUAACGCGUAGGAAUCUACCAUUCAGCGGGGGAUAGCUCGGGGAAACCCGAAUUAAUACCGCAUAUACCCUAAGGGGGAAAGAGGGCCUAUCCUUGGAAGCUCUUGCUGUUUGAUGAGCCUGCGUGAGAUUAGUUUGUUGGUGAGGUAAUGGCUCACCAAGACUACGAUCUCUAGCUGGUCUGAGAGGACGAUCAGCCACACUGGGACUGAGACACGGCCCAGACUCCUACGGGAGGCAGCAGUGGGGAAUAUUGGACAAUGGGGGCAACCCUGAUCCAGGCAUGCCGCGUGUGUGNNNNNNNGCCUUAGGGUUGUAAAGCACUUUAGGUAAGGAAGAAAAGUUAAUAGUUAAUACCCAAUAACCAUGACAUUACUUACAGAAUAAGGACCGGCUAACUCCGUGCCAGCAGCCGCGGUAAUACGGAGGGUCCAAGCGUUAAUCGGAAUUACUGGGCGUAAAGCGCGCGUAGGCGGUUUGACAAGUUGGGUGUGAAAUCCCCGGGCUUAACCUGGGAACUGCAUUCAAAACUUUUAAACUGGAGUACGGGAGAGGAGAGUAGAAUUCAUGGUGUAGCGGUGAAAUGCGUAGAUAUCAUGAGGAAUACCAAUGGCGAAGGCAACUCUCUGGACCGUAACUGACGCUGAGGUGCGAAAGCGUGGGUAGCAAACAGGAUUAGAUACCCUGGUAGUCCACGCCGUAAACGAUGACAACUAGCCGUUGGACCUUCGGGUUCAGUGGCACAGCUAACGCAUUAAGUUGUCCGCCUGGGGAGUACGGCCGCAAGGCUAAAACUCAAAUGAAUUGACGGGGGCCCGCACAAGCGGUGGAGCAUGUGGUUUAAUUCGAUGCAACGCGAAAAACCUUACCAACCCUUGACAUCUAGUGAAAUUUCUAGAGAUAGAUUUGUGCCUUCGGGAACACUAAGACAGGUGUUGCAUGGCUGUCGUCAGCUCGUGUCGUGAGAUGUAUGGUUAAGUCCAGUAACGAGCGCAACCCUUAUCCUUAUUUGCCAGCACUUCGGGUGGGAACUCUAAGGAGACUGCCGUGAAUAACACGGAGGAAGGUGGGGACGACGUCAAGUCAUCAUGGCCCUUACGGGUUGGGCUACACACGUGCUACAAUGGGAGAUACAGAUGGUUGCGAAAGCGCGAGCUGGAGCCAAUCCCACAAAGUCUUCCUUAGUCCGGAUUGGAGUCUGCAACUCGACUCCAUGAAGCAGGAAUCGCUAGUAAUCGCGAAUCAGAAUGUCGCGGUGAAUACGUUCUCGGGCCUUGUACACACCGCCCGUCACGUCAUGGGAGUGUGUUGUACCAGAAGUGGUUUGUCUAACCUUCGGGAGGACGGCCCCCACGGUAUGAU